rnacentral:rRNA from 1 species
CUACGGGUCGCAGCAGUGGGGAAUAUUGGACAAUGGGGGAAACCCUGAUCCAGCAAUGCCGCGUGUGUGAAGAAGGCCUGCGGGUUGUAAAGCACUUUCGGUUGGGAGGACUGCUUCUAGCACUAAUAUUGUUGGAAGUUGACGUUACCUUCAGAAGAAGCACCGGCUAACUCCGUGCCAGCAGCCGCGGUAAUACGGAGGGGGGAAGCGUUAAUCGGAAUUACUGGGCGUAAAGCGCGCGUAGGCGGCUAGAUCAGGCGGGUGUGAAAGCCCCGGGCUUAACCUGGGAACUGCAUCCGAUACUGUCUAGCUUGAGUACAGGAGAGGAGAGUGGAAUUCCACAUGUAGCGGUGAAAUGCGUAGAUAUGUGGAGGAACACCAAUGGCGAAGGCAGCUCUCUGGCCUGAUACUGACGCUGAGGUGCGAAAGCGUGGGGAGCAAACAGGAUUAGAUACCCCUGUAGUC